rnacentral:rRNA from 1 species
UAAGGAGGGUGCAAGCAUUAUUCGGAAUUAUUGGGUGUAAAGAGCGCGUAGGCGGUCCUUUAAGUCAGAUGUGAAAGCCCAGGGUUCAACCCUGGAAGUGCAUUUGAAACUAAAGGACUUGAGUAUGGGAGAGGGAAGUGGAAUUCCUGGUGUAGCGGUGAAAUGCGUAGAUAUCAGGAGGAACACCGGUGGCGAAGGCGACUUCCUGGACCAAUACUGACGCUGAGGCGCGAAGGCGUGGGGAGCAAACAGG